rnacentral:tRNA from 6 species
GGGGUGUUAGCUCAGUUGGUAGAGCAGCGGACUUUUAAUCCGUUGGUCGCGAGUUCGAAUCUCGCACACCCUACCA